CCGGUGAAAUUCGACGACUCUGGCUAAAUUCAACGACUCGGAGGAAGAUUGUACACGGAAAACACGGAGAAGCUCUAGAGAAAAAGAAAGAUCUCCGACGAAGAAGAACGAAUAGCUCCGACGAAAAACAAAGAGAUCCGGUGAAGGAAGACGAGCUCUGGCGACAUACUUCGAUCUGUGUCUGGAGAUUUUAAAUUGGUCAGAUCUGAAGCUUCCUCAACUUGUGAUCGGACUCGCCGUGGGAAUCACAAUCAUCAUCGGCUUCGUCAAGACCAAUAGAUUCAAGGAAGCUUCUCCCCGCUGAGUUUUAUUCUUCCUGGGUCGUUUUCUCCGAGCGUCAGAAUUGACUUGGCUGAACCAUCACUUGACUAAGAUCUGGCCUUAUGUUGAUGAGGCAGCCUCUGUGCUUAUAAGGGCAUCCGUAGAGCCGGAUCUCGAGCAAUAUAGACCUGCCGUUGUUGCCUCCUUGACAUUUUCUAAGCUUACUCUCGGUACCGUGGCGCCUCAGUUUACAGGUGUUUCCAUUAUAGAAGGUGAUGAAAAUGGGAUGACCAUGGAGCUUGAUAUGAAUUGGGAUGGGAAUCCAAAUAUAGUACUUGGCAUCAAGACCUUAGGUUGUGUAUCUCUUCCAGUUCAGGUGAAAAAUAUUGGAUUCACUGGUGUUUUCAGGCUGAUUUUAGGCCAUUGGUUGAUGAGUUUCCUUGCUUUGGAGCUGUCAGUGUUUCUCUUAGAGAAAAGAAAAAAUUGGACUUCACCCUUAAGGUUGUU